AACCUACCCUUGGGAUGGAGAUAACUCCAGGAAACUGGGGCUAAUACCCAAUAAGUGAAAGUGCCUGGAAUGGUCUUUCGCUGAAAGGGCGUCGGGAACACGCUCUCGACGUUGCCCAAGGACGGGACUGCGGCCGAUCAGGUAGUUGGUAGGGUAAUGGCCUACCAAGCCUAUAACCGGUACGGGCCCUGAGAGGGGGAGCCUGGAGAUGGGAACUGAGACAAUGUCCCAGGCCCUAAGGGGUGCAGCAGGCGCGAAAACUCCACAAUGCACGAAAGUGUGAUGGGGUUAUCCCGAGUGCCAUCCGCUUAGGAUGGCUUUUCCCCGGUGUAAGGAGCCGGGGGAAUAAGAGGGGGGCAAGACUGGUGUCAGCCGCCGCGGUAAUACCAGCCCCUCGAGUGGUAGGGACGAUUAUUUAGCCUAAAGCGUUCGUAGCCGGCUUUGUAAGUCCCUCGUGAAAUCCGACGAUUCAAUCGUCGGGCGUGCAAGGGAUACUGUUAAGCUAGGGGACGGGAGAAGUCGACGGUAGUCCCGGGGUAGGGGUGAAAUCUUAUAAUCCUGGGAGGACCA
rnacentral:rRNA from 1 species